CUCCCUCUGCUCCAGCACCACCUCCCUCUGCCCCAUCAUCUCCCUCUGCUCCAGCACCACCUGAUACGCAGAGAAAAUCCCUAGCAGAGAAAUAUGUCCAUGAAGCUUUUUCUGGAAAAAACGUCUUUGUCCUUCUGUCAAAAGUGAAUGCAUAUAAGUUGUUUUACUCUGACAUUUACAAAAUUGGUCCUGGCAUGGAACUGGUGAGUCAGAUCCUCUGUGACAUGUGCCUGAGGUGGUUCCAUCAGGCGUGUGUGGCUAGCCCACCAACUGAAAAAAACUUUUACUGCUUUGCAUGUUUGCCUUAGGUUCCUGAGUUUGCUGUGGUGUGCUGGUUUAUGCAUGUUG